AGGCAAACGCUGCAUUUUAUGUAGAGGAAAGUCCAUGCUCGCACCAUCUGUGAUGAUGGUAGUGUUCGUGCAUAGGGAAAAAAUAACCUAUGGUAGUUUUUAACUAACGGCAUCGAAUUAACCGUUUAGGUUAUAUUAGAUAUAAAAGUGCUAUAGUGACGAUUUGAUUUAGAAAUAAAUCAGGUGAGACGACGUAAACCCCACGAGCGAGAAACCCAAAUUAUGGUAGGGGAGCUAAAAAGAAGGAAUAAAACUUCAAUUUGGAUCGAAAGAUAGAUAAAUGUUUGCCAGCCUUCAACGGCUACAGGACAUGGCUUAUU
rnacentral:RNase_P_RNA from 1 species